rnacentral:rRNA from 1 species
GUUUAUUUGAAGAUUUAAAUGAUUUAACCUGCCCCCUGAUUUUAAAAUUAAAGGGCCGCAGUAUUAUAACUGUGCAAAGGUAGCAUAAUAAUUAGGUUUUUAAUUGGGAUCUUGUAUGAAUGGUUGGACAAAAGAGCAUCUCUCUUUAUAUUAAGUUUUAAAUUUAACUUUUAAGUGAAAAGGCUUAAAUAUUUUAAAGGGACGAUAAGACCCUAUAAAACUUUACAUUGUAAUUAUAAUUUUAGUGAAUUUUAAAAUAAAAGUUUAAUUUAAUUAUUUGUUGUGUUGGGGAGAUCUAAGUAAAAUAUAUUUUUAACUGCUUAAAUAAUUAAACAAUUAUUAAUGGUAUAUAAAAGAUCCUUUAUAAAGAUUAAUAGUUUAAGUUACUUUAGGGAUAACAGCGUAAUUUAUUUUAAGAGUUCUUAUCGAAAAAUAAGAUUGCGACCUCGAUGUUGAAUUAAAAUAUCUAUAUAAUGAAGAUGUUAUACUAGAAGGUCUGUUCGACCUUUAAAAUUUUACAUGAUUUGAGUUCAAACCGGUGUGAG